rnacentral:lncRNA from 1 species
UGGCCUCUUGAAUACUAUCCACAAGGUGGCUUACUAAUAAAUUUGUUUUUUUGUAGUUCUGGAAAGUGGGAAGUUUGAGUUCAAAGAGCCAGAAGAUUCAAUGUCUGGAGAGAGUUCCCGGCCUGCUGUUUAUGCCUGGUGCCGCUUCAGAAGACCUGAGGUUAAUGAAAAGAGAAGAUGGAAAAAAUUUCAGUAUGGAGAUAGUUGAGAAACAAC